rnacentral:rRNA from 1 species
UACGUAGGGCGCAAGCGUUAUCCGGAAUUAUUGGGCGUAAAGAGCUCGUAGGCGGUUUGUCGCGUCUGCCGUGAAAGUCCGGGGCUCAACUCCGGAUCUGCGGUGGGUACGGGCAGACUAGAGUGAUGUAGGGGGAGACUGGAAUUCCCGGUGUAGAGGUGAAAUUCGUAGAUAUCGGGAGGAACACCAGUGGCGAAGGCGGGUCGUCUGGGCCGAUACUGACGCUGAGGAGCGAAAGCGUGGGAGCGAACGAGG